rnacentral:rRNA from 1 species
GUGUCAGCCGCCGCGGUAAUACGGAGGAUGCAAGCGUUAUCCGGAAUGAUUGGGCGUAAAGGGUCCGCAGGUGGCAAUGUGUGUCUGCUGUCAAAGAAUGAGGCUUAACCUCAUCAAGGCAGUGGAAACUACAUAGCUAGAGUACGGUCGGGGUAGAAGGAAUUCCUGGUGUAGCGGUGAAAUGCGUAGAGAUCAGGAAGAACACCGGUGGCGAAAGCGUUCUGCUAGACCUGUACUGACACUGAGGGACGAAAGCUAGGGGAGCGAAUGGGAUUAGAAACCCUGGUAGUCC